CGGGCUGUGGCGCAGCUUGGUAGCGCAUCUGCUUUGGGAGCAGAGGGUCGCUGGUUCGAAUCCAGUCAGCCCGACCC
rnacentral:tRNA from 1 species